rnacentral:rRNA from 1 species
UUGGAGGGCAAGUCUGGUGCCAGCAGCCGCGGUAAUUCCAGCUCCAAUAGCGUAUAUUAAAGUUGUUGCAGUUAAAAAGCUCGUAGUUGAAUUUCGGGAUCUAUCCGUCGGUCGGGCCUCACGGUCCGCACUGGUGUGAUGGAUUCCUACCUUCUGAACAUCCGGUAUGCCAUUAAUUUGAUGUGCCGGGGAAGCAGAACCAUUACCUUGAAAAAAUUAGAGUGCUCAAAGCAGGCUUGUGCCUGAAUACAUUAGCAUGGAAUAAUAAAAUAGGACGGCAUGGUUCUAUUUUGUUGGUUUCUAGGAUCACCGUAAUGAUUAAUAGGGAUAGUUGGGGGCAUUAGUAUUCAAUUGUCAGAGGUGAAAUUCUUGGAUUUAUUGAAGACUAACUACUGCGAAAGCAUUUGCCAAGGAUGUUUUCAUUAAUCAAGAACGAAAGUUAGGGGAUCGAAGACGAUCAGAUACCGUCGUAGUCUUAACCAUAAACUAUGCCGACUAGGGAUCGGAUGAUGUUAAUUUUUUAAUGACUCAUUCGGCGCCUUACGGGAAAC